rnacentral:rRNA from 1 species
GAGCAAUCUGUGUGACUGCGUACCUUUUGUAUAAUGGGUCAGCGACUUAUAUUCUGUAGCAAGGUUAACCGAAUAGGGGAGCCGAAGGGAAACCGAGUCUUAACUGGGCGUUAAGUUGCAGGGUAUAGACCCGAAACCCGGUGAUCUAGCCAUGGGCAGGUUGAAGGUUGGGUAACACUAACUGGAGGACCGAACCGACUAAUGUUGAAAAAUUAGCGGAUGACUUGUGGCUGGGGGUGAAAGGCCAAUCAAACCGGGAGAUAGCUGGUUCUCCCCGAAAGCUAUUUAGGUAGCGCCUCGUGAAUUCAUCUCCGGGGGUAGAGCACUGUUUCGGCAAGGGGGUCAUCCCGACUUACCAACCCGAUGCAAACUGCGAAUACCGGAGAAUGUUAUCACGGGAGACACACGGCGGGUGCUAACGUCCGUCGUGAAGAGGGAAACAACCCAGACCGCCAGCUAAGGUCCCAAAGUCAUGGUUAAGUGGGAAACGAUGUGGGAAGGCCCAGACAGCCAGGAUGUUGGCUUAGAAGCAGCCAUCAUUUAAAGAAAGCGUAAUAGCUCACUGGUCGAGUCGGCCUGCGCGGAAGAUGUAACGGGGCUAAACCAUGCACCGAAGCUGCGGCAGCGACGCUUAUGCGUUGUUGGGUAGGGGAGCGUUCUGUAAGCCUGCGAAGGUGUGCUGUGAGGCAUGCUGGAGGUAUCAGAAGUGCGAAUGCUGACAUAAGUAACGAUAAAGCGGGUGAAAAGCCCGCUCGCCGGAAGACCAAGGGUUCCUGUCCAACGUUAAUCGGGGCAGGGUGAGUCGACCCCUAAGGCGAGGCCGAAAGGCGUAGUCGAUGGGAAACAGGUUAAUAUUCCUGUACUUGGUGUUACUGCGAAGGGGGGACGGAGAAGGCUAUGUUGGCCGGGCGACGGUUGUCCCGGUUUAAGCGUGUAGGCUGGUUUUCCAGGCAAAUCCGGAAAAUCAAGGCUGAGGCGUGAUGACGAGGCACUACGGUGCUGAAGCAACAAAUGCCCUGCUUCCAGGAAAAGCCUCUAAGCAUCAGGUAACAUCAAAUCGUACCCCAAACCGACACAGGUGGUCAGGUAGAGAAUACCAAGGCGCUUGAGAGAACUCGGGUGAAGGAACUAGGCAAAAUGGUGCCGUAACUUCGGGAGAAGG